UACGUAGGCAGCAAGCGUUGUUCGGAGUUACUGGGCGUAAAGGGUGUGUAGGCGGUUAUUUAAGUUUGGUGUGAAAUCUCCCGCUCAACCGGGAGGGUGCGCCGAAUACUGAAUGACUUGGAGUGCGGGAGAGGAAAGUGGAAUUCCUGGUGUAGCGGUGAAAUGCGUAGAUAUCAGGAGGAACACCGGUGGUGUAGACGGCUUUCUGGACCGUAACUGACGCUGAGACACGAAAGCGUGGGUAGCAAACAGG
rnacentral:rRNA from 1 species